rnacentral:rRNA from 1 species
UCAGGCCUAACACAUGCAAGUCGAACGGCAGCACGGGUGCUUGCACCUGGUGGCGAGUGGCGAACGGGUGAGUAAUAUAUCGGAACGUACCUUAUUGUGGGGGAUAACGCAGCGAAAGCUGUGCUAAUACCGCAUAAUCCCUAAGGGGGAAAGCGGGGGACCGUAAGGCCUCGCGCAAUUAGAGCGGCCGAUACCUGAUUAGCUAGUUGGUGAGGUAAAGGCUCACCAAGGCAACGAUCAGUAGCUGGUCUGAGAGGACGAUCAGCCACACUGGGACUGAGAUACGGCCCAGACUCCUACGGGAGGCAGCAGUGGGGAAUUUUGGACAAUGGGGGCAACCCUGAUCUAAAAGUGCCGCGUGAGUGAAGAA